rnacentral:rRNA from 1 species
GACGAACGCUGGCGGCGUGCUUAACACAUGCAAGUCGAGCGGUAAGGCCCUUUCGGGGGUACGACGAGCGGCGAACGGGUGAGUAACACGUGGGUGACCUGCCCUUACGCUCUGGGAUAAGCCUGGGAAACUAGGGUCUAAUACCGGAUAUGACCUCAUGACUCAUGUUGUGGGGUGGAAAGCCUUGUGCGGCUAGGGAUGGGCCCGCGGCCUAUCAGCUUGUUGGUGGGGUAAUUGCCUACCAAGGCGACGACGGGUAGCCGGCCUGAGAGGGCGACCGGCCACACUGGGACUGAGACACGGCCCAGACUCCUACGGGAGGCAGCAGUGGGGAAUCUUGCGCAAUGGGCGAAAGCCUGACGCAGCGACGCCGCGUGAGGGAUGACGGCCU